rnacentral:rRNA from 1 species
CACGUAGGAGGCAAACGUUAUCCGGAUUUACUGGGCGUAAAGCGCGUGUAGGUGGUUCUGUAAGUAGGGCGUGAAAGCUCCCGGCUCAACUGGGAGAGGCCGUUCUAAACUGCAUAGCUGGAGUACUGGAGAGGGAAGUGGAAUUCCCGGUGUAGCGGUGAAAUGCGUAGAUAUCGGGAGGGACACCGGUGGCGAAGGCGGCUUUCUGGCCAGUUACUGACGCUCAUGCGCGAAAGCUGGGGUAGCGAACAGGAUUAGAUACCCGCGUAGUCCCUGAG